rnacentral:rRNA from 1 species
GCACAAGCAGUGGAGUAUGUGGUUUAAUUCGACGCAACGCGAAGAACCUUACCAAGUCUUGACAUCCCUUGACGAUACUGGAAACAGCAUUUCUCUUCGGAGCAAGGAGACAGGUGGUGCAUGGUUGUCGUCAGCUCGUGUCGUGAGAUGUUGGGUUAAGUCCCGCAACGAGCGCAACCCUUAUGGUCAGUUACUACGCAAGAGGACUCUGGCCAGACUGCCGUUGACAAAA